UGUCUGUCUCUUUUAUUCUUGUUGCUUCCACUUUCUGUGAUGUUCCAUGAGAUUGGAAGGUGUGGGAAGUGACAUUAUUGUGCAUUUGGGAUUUUGCUUUUACUGACAUUUAUUCUCUGCUCAUUGGCAAAUUGUUGCUCUUUGUAGUGAUUGUUGCCCACUUCAAAAAGGGUUUAUGUGACCAUGCUAGAGAGCAAUCUAUGGGUAUAAACAGAAAUAUUUAGAAGGCAAAUUUACAGCAUCACUUUUGAGCAAAAUUCCAAUAUCAGGUUCUAUCCUAUGACCUUGAACUCCCUAGCCAUGAGCCUUUGACUACUGUUGCAGUACCAAGCAGGAAGUCCCCUUAUGUUGGGCAGGUCUCAAAUGCACCAAGAGAGCAGCUGGUUACCUCAUAAUAGUGCUGCAGCCGUAGCAACAGUGGGCAAAUCUUGUCUGGCAAGUCAGUGUUAGAGCACACAGUUUCCAGCACUGGGUCUCAAAUGCACCAAGAAAACAGCUGGUUACCUCAUAAUAGUGAUGCAGCCGUAGCAACAGUGGGCAAAUCUUGUCUGGCAAGUCAGUGUUAGAGCACACAAUUUCCAGCACUGGGGGGAUACAUUAUAAUUUAGAGAAAUUAUUCCGGAUUUAAUUGAAUCCUGCGGCCUCUGUUAACCAUAUGGAUGUCCAUGAUUGGCAGUACAAUGCUAUUCCUAUUCCUUCUGGAAGCAAUGUUGAUGCUCAUGAUCUUCUUACAACUGGACACCAUGUUGACUUCCAUGAUCUCUCCUGAAAGUAGUGACCAUGGUAAGGUAAGUGUUCCUUGUUUGCUAAUGUGUAGAAUGUUAUUUUACAAGAUGUAACCAACCAUUGGUAACUUAAGUUGAUAUGCAUAACUCAUGCUGCCAAUGGUCCCCAUGCUGAUGUCAUUGAUCCCUGUUGCCUCUGUUAACCCUGCUGAUGUCUAUGAAAGCAACUCCUAUGCAUUUCUGUUGGUUCUGUAAGCCAUGUUGGUACAUGUGGUACUUGUUACCAAUGGAUAACAUUUUGAUUGCCAUGAUUUCUCUGGCCCCUUAUGACCAUAUUAAUGAAAGUGCUCUGUGCUGCCAACAUAAAGAAUGUAAAAAGAAUGUAAAUUUCUAAGAACUGAAAUACCACCUGAAACUAAGUUGAUAUCCGGAAUACUUGCAGUCACCUCCAAACAAAUUGUAUUCAUCUAUCCCUGCUGCAUCUUUUAAACAUGUGGAUGUCCAUGAGCAGACAUACCAUGCUAUUCCUACUAUUUUGGAAGUCAUGUUGAGUAGCAUUCUGUCUUGCCCAUGGAUCUGAUGUUGAUGUAUAUCACUGCCCUAUCACCUGAGACCAUGUAGCUGCUACAAGAGUUCUGUGUUGCCAACACGAAGGAUGUUAAUUUUUUGAUAACAACUACCAGCAAAACCAUGUUGCUAUCAAUUAUACAUGAUGGUGCCUGAAACCAUGUGGAUUUAAUUGAUCUCUGCUAACUGUUAACCAUAUGGAUGUUCAUGAUUGGUACUAUAAUACUAUUCAUACUACUUUUGGAAGCAAUGUUUAUGCUCAUGAUCUUUUAAACCACCGGAUAACAUGUUGAUUGUCAUGAUCUCUCCUGCUACAAGUGAUCAUGUUAAUGUAAGUGUUCCUUGUUGCCAAUGAAUAGAAUGGCAAUUUCCAAGAUUUAACCAACUUUUGUAAACUAAAUUGAUAUGCAUAAUUCAUGCUGACAUGUGCAGCCAUGCUGAUGUAAUUGAUCACUGCUGCCUCUCUUAAUCCUAUUGAUGUCUGUGAAUGGACACAAAUGGAACACUUUUGAUUCUGUAAGCCAUGACAAUGCAUGUGGUUUUGGUUCCAUGGGAUAGUAUCUUGAUGGCCAUGACCUCUCCAUGCCCUGAGGACCAUGUGAAGGUAAGCAUUGUAUGUUUCCAGCAUGAAGAAUAUAAAUUUUCAAGAACUGAAAUACUAACUAAACUAGGUUGAAAUCCAGAAUGCAUGCUGCCAACAACAGAAUUGAUGCCACUACCCUGCUGUGUCUGUGAAACAUGUGGAUAUCCAUGAGCAGACAUACAAUGCAAUUCCUACUAUUUCUGAAAGCCAGGUUGAUACCAGGGUUCUUCCUUGCCCAUGGAUCUGAUGUGGAGUUCUAUCCGUCAUGCUACCUGAGACCAUGUUGAUACAAGAUUUCUGUCUUUCCAACUUGAAGAAUGUUAUUUGCCCUGAUCACAAUACCAAAGUAAACUAUGUGGCUAUCCUUUCUACAUGCUGCCACCUGAAUCCUUGAGGAUUUAAUUGAUCUCUACUGCUUCAAUUACCCAUAUGGAUGGCCAUAUUGGAACUACAAUGCUAUUCAUAACACUUUUCUUAGCAGUGUUGAUGCUCAUGAUUUUUUAAACCACAAGACAUCAUGUAGAUUUCUGUGACAUCUCCUGUUACAAGUGAUGAUGUUAAUGUAAGUGUUCCUUUUGGCAGUGUGUAGAAUGUUAAUUUCGAAUAUUUAACAAGCAUUGGUAACUACACAGAUAUCUGUAAUUCAUACUGCCAUCUCCAACCAUGCUGAUGUCAUUGAUCCCUGUUGCCACUCUUAACCCUGUUGAUGUCUAUGAAUUCACAAGCAAUGAAUUCCUGUUGUUUCUGUAAGCCAUUUUAAUACAUGUGGUCCUUGUUACCAUGGGAUAACAUCUUGAUUGCCAUGACCUCUCUGGGCCCUUGUGACCAUAUUGAUGGAAGUGUGCUGUGUUGCCAACAUAAAGAAUGUAAAUUUCCAAGAAAUGAAACUAAGUUGAUAUCUGGAAUAUUUGCAGUCACCUCCAAAUAAAUUGAAUUCAUUCAUCCCUGCUGCAUCUUUUAAACAUGGAUGUCUAUGAGCAGACAUACCAUGCUAUUCCUACUACUUCUGGAAGCAUGUUGAUGCCGGGGUUCUUUCUUGCCCAUGGAUCUGAUGGUGAUAUCUAUCUGUCCUGCUACCUGAGACUAUGUUCUUUCUUUCCAACAUGAAGAAUGUUAAUUUCCCUGAUCUGAAAUACCAUAGUAAACUAUGUGGCUAUCCAUUUGACAUGCUGCCAACUAAAAACCUGUGGAUGUAAUACAUCCCUGCUUAUGUUACCCAUAUGAAUGUCCAUGAUUGGGAGCAUAAUGAUAAUAGUACUAUUUCUGGAAGCAGUGUUGAUGCUACUUAUCUUCUUACCACUGGGCAACAUGUCGAAUUCAAUGAUCAGUCACUACUUUAAGGUAAGUGUUUGUUGUUGCCAAUGUAUAGAAUGGUAAUUUCCAAGAUUUAAUUAACUUUUGGUAACUAAGUUGAUACACAGAAUUCAUGCUGCAACCUGCAGCCAUGCUGAUGUCAUUGAUCACUACUGCCUUUGCAAACCCUAUUGAUACUAAUGAAUGAAGCUCCCAUGCAUUCCUAUUGGUUCUGUAAGCCAUGUUGAUGCAUGUAGUCCUUGUUACCAUGGUAUAACACCUUGAUGGCUCUGAGUUCUUCAUCCCAUUAUCACCUUAAUUAUAUAAGUGUUCUGUGUUGCCAAUUUAAAGAAUGUAAUUUCCAAGAAUUGAAAUACUAUCAGAAAUUGGGUUAAUACCCUGAAUACAUUCUGCUACCUCCAAACAAGUUGAGGUCUUUAAUCUCAGCUGAGUCUCAUAAACAUGUGCAUAUCCAUGGCUGGAAGGGCAAUGCUAUUCCUACUCCUUCUGGAAGCAAGGUUCAUGCUCAUGAUCUUCUUACCACUGGACACCAUGGUGACUUACAUGAUCUCUCCUGCUACAAGUGACAAUAUUAAGGUAAGUGUUCCUUUUUUGGCAUUAUAUAUAGAAAAGUAAUUUCCAAGAUUUAAUGAACCUUUGGUAACGUGGCUGAUAUCUGUCAUUCAUGCUGCCACCUGCACCCAUGCUGAUGUCAUUGACCACUGCUGCCUCUGUUAAACUUGUUGAUUUCUAUGAAAGGGCCUGACAGGAAUUCCUAUUGUUUCUGUAAGCCAUGUUGAUUCAUAUGGUCCUUGUUACCAUGGGAUAACAUCUUGAUUGCCAUGACCUCUAUGGCCACGUAUGACCAUACUAAUGUAAGUAUUCUGUGUUGCCAACAUAAAGAAUGUAAAUUUACAAGAACAAUAAUACAAACUGAAACUAAGUUCAUAUCUGGAAUACUUGCUGUCACCUCCAAACAAAUUGAAUACAUUCAUCACUGCUGAAUCUGUAAAACAUGCAGAUGUCCAUGAACAGGCAUACCAUGUUAUUCCUACUAUUUCUGGAAGCCACAUAAUGCCAGGGUUCAUUCUUGCUCAUGGAUCUAAUGUUGAUGUCUACCUGUCCAGCUACCUGAGUCCAUGUUGAUGCAAGAGUUCUAUAUUUCCAUCAUGAAGAUUGUUAAUUUCAUGAUGUCAACUACCAUAGUAUACUAUGUUUCUAUCCAUUCUACGUUCUGCCAGCUGAUAACUUGUGGAUUUAAUUGAUCUCUGCUUGUUCUGUUACCCAUAUGGAUAUCCAUGAUUGAAACCAUAAUACUUUUCGUACUACUUCUGGUAGCAGUGUUGAUGCUUAUGGACUUGUAAACCACUGGACACCAUGUUGAUUUUCAUGAUAUCUGUUGCUACAGGGGAUGAUGUUAAUGUAAGUGAUCCUUGUUGACCAUGUAUAGAAUGGUAAUUUCCAAGAUUUAACCAACUUUUGGUAACUAAGUUGAUAUACAUUAUUCAUGCUGCCACCUGCAGCCAUACUGAGGUCAUUGAUCACUGAUACCUAUGCAAACCAUUCUGAUAUUAAUGAAUGGAGCUCCCCUGCAUUCCUAUUGUUUCUGUAAGCCAUGUUGAUGCAGGUGGUCAUUUAUAUCAUGGGUUAACAUCUUGUUUGCCAUAAAUUCUCCAGCCCCUUAUGGCUAUGUUAAGCCCCCUUUUGGCAAUAUGUAGAAUGAUAAUUUCCAAGAAUUAGCAAGCAUGGGUCACUAAGCAGAUAUCCAUAAUUCAUGCUGCAACCUCCAACCAUGUCCUUGACAGCCAUUGCCAAGGUUAAGCCUGUUGAUGUCUAUGAAUGCCCCUCCAAUGCAUUCCUCUUGUUUCUGUAAGCCAUGUUGAUACAUGAGGUCCUUGUUACCAUGAGAUAACAUUUUGAUUGCCAUGUCCUCCUUGGCCUCUUAUGACCAUAUUGAUGGAAGUGUUCUGUGUUGCCAACAUAAAGAAUGUGAAAUUUCAAGAAUUGAAAUACCAAACAAAACCAAGUUGAUAUCUGCAAUAUUUGCUGUCACCACCAAACAAAUUGAAUUAAUUUAUCCCUGCUGCAUCUGUUAUAUAUGUGGAUGUCCAUGAGCGGACAUACAAUGCAAUUCCUACUGUUUCUGGAAACAAGGUUGAUGACAGCGUUCUUUCUUACACAUGGAACUUAUUUUGAUGUCUAUCUGUCCUCCUACCUGACACCAUGUUGGUACAAGAGUUCUGUCUUUCCAUCAUGAAGAAAAUUAAUUUCUCUGAUCUCAAAUACCAAAGUAAACUGUGUGGCUAUUCAUUCUACAUUCUGCCACCUGAAAUCCUGUAGGUAUAAUACAUCCCUACUGCUUCUGUGAACCAUGUGGAUGUCCAUGAUUGGUGGCACAAUGCCAUUCUUAUUACUUCUGGAAGCAAUGUUGAUGCUAAUUAUCUUCUACUACUUGGCACCAUGUUUUUUUUCUAUGAUUUCUCCUGCUACAAGUCACCACCUUAAGAUAAGUGUUUGUUGUUGCCAGUGUAUAGAAUGGUAAUUUCCAAGAUUUAAUUAACUUUUGGUAGCUAAGUUGAUACACAUAAUUCAUACUGCCACCUGCAGCCAACCUGAUGUCAUUGGUCACUGCUACCUUUGCAAACCAUGUUGAUAUUAGUGAAUAGAGCUCCCAUGCAUUCCUAUUCGUUCUGGAAGCCAUGUUGAUGACAUGUGGUCCUUGUUACCAUGGAUAACACCUUGAUGACUUUGAUAUUCUCCAUCCCCUUAUGACCUUAUUAAUGUAAGUAUUCUGUAUUGCCAAUAUGAAGAAUGUAAUUUUCAAGAAUUGAAAUACCAAUAGAAACUAAGAUAAUAACCGAAAGACAUGCUGCUACCUCCAAACAAGUUGAGGUCUUUAAAUCCAGCUGAGUCUUUUAAACAUAUGCAUGUCCAUGAUUGGAACUACAAUGCUAUUCCUACUCCUUCUGGAAGCAAUGUUGAUGCUCAUGAUCUUCUUACCACUGGACACCAUGGUGACUUACAUGAUCUUUCCUGCAACAAGUGACAAUAUUAAGGUAAGUGUUCCUUUUUGGCAAUAUAUAGAAUGGUAAUUCCCAAGAUUUAAUGAACCUUGUUAACUUAGCUAAUAUCUCUAAGUCAUGCUGCCACCUGCACCCAUGCUGAUGUCAUUGACUGCUGCUGCCUCUGUUAACCCUGUUGAUGUCUAUGAAAGGAAGCUGCCAUGCAUUCCUAUUGGUUCUGUAAGCCAUGAUGAUUCAUGUGGUCCUUGUUACCAUGAGAUGACAUCUUUAUUGCCAUGACCUCUCUGGCCCUUAUGACCAUAUUAAUGUAAAUGUUCUGUGUUGGCAACAAAAGAAUGUAAAUUUUCAAGAACAAAAAUACCAACUGAAACUAGUUGAUAUCCAGAAUACUUGCUGUCACCUCCAAACAAAUUGAAUUCAUUCAUCCUGCUGCAUCUGUUGAACAUGCAGAUGUCCAUGAGCAGAUAUAUCAUGCUAUUUCUACUAUUUCUGGGAGUCACAUUGAUGCCAGGGUUCUUCUUGCCCAUGGAUCUGAUGUUGAUGUCUAUCUGUCCUGCUUCUGAGACCAUGUUGAUGCAAGAGAUCUGUCUUUUCAACAAGAAGAAUGUUAAUUUCCCUGAUCUCUACUACCAUAGUAAACUAUGUGGCUAUCCAUUCAACAUUCUACCACCUGAAAACUUGUGGAUUUAAUGGAUUCCUGCUGCUUUUGUUACCAUAUGGAUGUCCAUGAUUGGAACUAUAAUUCUUUUCUUACUACUUCUGGUAGCAGUGUUGAUGCUCAUGGUCUUCUAAACCACUGGACAUCAUGUUGAUAUCCAUGAUCUCUGUUUCUACAGGUGAUUAUGUUAAUGUAGACUUUACUUGUUGCAAAUGUAUAGAAUGGUAAUUUCCAUAAUUUAACCAACUUUUGAUAACUGAGUUGGUACACAUAAUUCAUACUAGUACCUGCAGCCAUGCUGAUGUCAUUGAUCACUGAUGCCUUUGCAAACCCUGCUGAUAUUAAUGAAUGGAGCUCCCCUGCAUUUCUAUUGUUUCUGUAAGCCAUGUUGAUGCAGGUGUUCCUUUAUAUCAUGGGUUAACAUCAUGAUUGCCAUAAAUUCUCCAGCCCCUUAUGGCCAUAUUCAGGCAAGUGUUUCUUUUUGGCAAUGCGUAGAAUGGUAAUUUCCAAGAUUUAACAAGCAUUUGUAACUAAGCAGAUAUCCAUAAUUCAUCAUGACAUUACAAACAUGCUGAUGUCAUUGACAGCUGUUGCCACUGUUAACCCUGUUGAUGUCUAUGAAUGCACCUCCAAUGCAUUCCUGUUGUUUCUGUGAGCCAUGUUGAUGAAUGUGGUCCUUGUUACCAUGAGAUAACAUUUUGAUUGCCAUGACCUCUCUGGCCCUUUAUGUUCAUAUGGAUGGAAGUGUUCUGUGUUGCCAACACAGAGAAUGUAAAUUUCCAAAAUUCAAAUACCAACUGAACCUAAGUUGGUAUCCAGAAUAUUUGCUGUCACCUCCAAACAAUUUGAAUUCAUUUCAUCCCUGCUCCAUCUCUUAAACAUGUGGAUGUCCAUGAGCAGACAUACAAUGCUAUUUCUACUAUUUCUGGAAGCCACAAUGAUGCAAGGAUUCUUUCUUGCCCAUGUAUCUGAUGUUGAUGUCUAUCUGUCCUCCUACUGGAAAUCAUGUUGGUGGUAUAUCCAUCAUGAAGAAAGUUAAUUUCUCUCAUCUCAACUACAACAGUAAACUGUGUGGCUAUUCAUUCUAUAUUUUACCACCUGAAACACUGUGGAUAUAAUACAUCCCUAUUGCUUCUGUUAACUAUGUGGAUGUCCAUGAUUGGAGGCACAAUACCAUUCCUACUACUCCAGAAGCAAUAUUGAUGCUCAUUAUCUUCUUUCCACUGGGUACCAUAUUCAUUUCUAUGAUCUCUCCUGCUACAAGUCACCACCUUAAGGUAAGUGUUUGUUGUUGCCAAUGUAUAGGAUGAUAUUUUCCAAGAUUUAACCAGCUUUUGAUUCACAUUAUUCAUGCUGCCACCUGCCACCAUGCUGAUGUCAUUGAUCACUGCUGCAAUUGCAAACCCUGUUGAUAUUAAUGAAUGGAGCUCCCAUGCAUUCCUAUUAGUUCUGUAAGCCAUGUCGAUGCAUGUGGUCAUUUUUACCAUGGAUAACAGCUUGAUUGCUAUGAAUUCUCCAUCCCCUUAACACCUUAUUUAUGUAAGAGUUCUGUGUUGCCAAUAUGAAUAAUGUAAUUUUCAAGAUUCGAAAUACUAACAGAAACUGGGUUAAUAUCUUGAAUACAUGCUGCUACCUCCAAACAAUUUGAGUUCAUUAAUUCUAGCUGAGUCUAUUAUAAAUGUGCAUGUCCAUGAUUGGAACUACAAUGCUAUCUAUUCCUAUGCUUCUUGGAAGCAAUGUUGAUGCUCAUGAUCUUCUUACCACUGGACACCAUGGUGACUUCCCUGAUUUCUCCUGCUUCAAGUGACCAUGUUAAGGUAAGUGUACCUUUUUGGCAAUAUAUAGAAUGGUAAUUACUGAGAUUUAAUGAACCUUUGGUGACGUAGCUGAUACCUGUAAUUCAUGCUGCCACCUGCACCCAUGAUGAUGUCAUUGACUCUUGCUGCCUCUGUUAACCUUGUUGAUGUCUAUGAAAGGACCUGAUAGGAAUUCCUAAUGUUUCACUAAGCCAUGUUGAUGCAUUUGUUCCUUGUUACCAUGUCAUAAUAUCUUGAUUGCCAUGACUUCUCUGGACCCUUAUGACCAUAUUGAUGUAUAUGUUCUGUGUUGCCAACAUAAAGAAUGUAAAUUUCCAAGAACAAAAAUACCAACAGAAACUAAGUUGACAUCUGGAAUAAUUGUUGUCACCUCCAAUGAAAUUGAAUUCAUUCAUCCCUUUUGCAUCUGUUAAACAUGCGGAUGUCCAUGAGAAGACAUACCAUGCUAUUCCUACUAUUUCUGGAAGCUAUGUUGAUGCCAGGAUUCUUUCUUGCCCAUGGAUCUGAUGUUGAUGUCCAUCUGUCCUCCUACCUGAGACCAUGUUGAUGCAAGUGUUCUGUCUUUUCAACAAAAA